rnacentral:rRNA from 1 species
AACGAACGCUGGCGGCAGGCUUAACACAUGCAAGUCGAACGCCCCGCAAGGGGAGUGGCGCACGGGUGAGUAACGCGUGGGAAUAUGCCCUUCGGUUCGGAAUAACACAGGGAAACUUGUGCUAAUACCAGAUACGAUCUACGGAUGAAAGAUUUAUCGCCGAGGGAGUAGCCCGCGUAGGAUUAGCUAGUUGGUGAGGUAAUGGCUCACCAAGGCGACGAUCCUUAGCUGGUCUGAGAGGAUGAUCAGCCACACUGGGACUGAGACACGGCCCAGACUCCUACGGGAGGCAGCAGUGGGGAAUAUUGGACAAUGGGGGAAACCCUGAUCCAGCCAUGCCGCGUGAGUGAUGAAGGCCUUAGGGUUGUAAAGCUCUUUCGCCAGGGAAGAUAAUGACGGUACCUGGAAAAGAAGCCUCGGCUAACUCCGUGCCAGCCGCCGCCGUAAGAC